AGACGUCUACAUUAGAUACCCGCGUAGUCCCAGCCGUAAACUAUGCGCGUUAGGUGUAUCGGUGACCACGAGUUACCGAGGUGCCGAAGGGAAACCGUGAAACGUGCCGCCGUGGGAAGUACGGUCGCAAGGCUGAAACUUAAAGGAAUUGGCGGGGAGCACCACAACGGGUGGAGCCUGCGGUUUAAUUGGACUCAACGCCGGGAAGCUCACCGGAUAAGACAGCGGAAUGAUUGCCGGGCUGAAGACUCUGCAUGACUAGCUG
rnacentral:rRNA from 1 species